rnacentral:rRNA from 1 species
UACGGAGGGUGCGAGCGUUGUCCGGAAUCAUUGGGCGUAAAGCGCGUGUAGGCGGUCCGGUAAGUCCGCUGUGAAAGUCGGGGGCUCAACCCUCGGAUGCCGGUGGAUACUGUCGGGCUUGAGUACGGAAGAGGCGAGUGGAAUUCCUGGUGUAGCGGUGAAAUGCGCAGAUAUUAGGAGGAACACCAAUUGCGAAGGCAGCUCGCUGGGACGUUACUGACGCUGAGACGCGAAAGCGUGGGGAGCAAACAGG